rnacentral:rRNA from 1 species
GACGAACGCUGGCGGCGUGCUUAACACAUGCAAGUCGAGCGAUGAAGCACCUUCGGGUGUGAAUUAGCGGCGAACGGGUGAGGAACACGUGAAGAAUCUGCCUUCAACUCUGGGAUAACUCCGGGAAACCGGGGCUAAUACCGGAUAUGAGCCUUGAUCGCAUGAUCGGGGCUGGAAAGUUUUUCGGUUGAAGAUGACUUCGCGGCCUAUCAGCUUGUUGGUGAGGUAAUGGCUCACCAAGGCGACGACGGGUAGCCGGCCUGAGAGGGCGACCGGCCACACUGGGACUGAGACACGGCCCAGACUCCUACGGGAGGCAGCAGUGGGGAAUAUUGGGCAAUGGAGGAAACUCUGACCCAGCGACGCCGCGUCGAGGGAUGAAGGCCUUCGGUUGUAAC